GAAUUUGAAUUUCUAGAUAAAUUUGAAAGAUGAAUUUCUGUAUUAGUUUUUUGAAGUGCUUUGUAUGCUAGUUUGGUUAAAAAUUCAUGUUGGAUUCUUUUUUAAAGUUCUUUGAAUGCUAGUUUAGUUAAAAAUUCAUCUUAAGUUAUUUUCUAAAGUUCUUUGAAUGCUACCUUAGUUAAAAAUUCAUGAUGUUUGAUUAUUU
rnacentral:lncRNA from 1 species